CAAUAGCGUAUACUAAAGUUGUUGCAGUUAAAAAGCUCGUAGUUGAAUUUCUGGUUGUGAAAGACGGUCCAUUCCUCAAGGAAUGCGUUACUAUUCAUUCAUGGCCAUCCUCGGGGAGAAUGUGUGUUACUUUCAGUAGUCGCGCACAGGAACCCCGUCAUUUACUGUGAGCAAAAUAGAGUGUUCAAAGCAGGCUUAUGCCGUUGAAUAUAUUAGCAUGGAAUAAUAAGAUAUGACUUUGGUCUAUUUUGUUGGUUUGCUUUCCAAAGUAAUGAUUAAUAGGGAUAGUUGGGGGUAUUCGUAUUCAAUUGUCAGAGGUGAAAUUCUUGGAUUUAUGGAAGACGAACUACUGCGAAAGCAUUUACCAAGGAUGUUUUCAUUAAUCAAGAACGAAAGUUAGGGGAUCGAAGACGAUCAGAUACCAU
rnacentral:rRNA from 1 species